rnacentral:rRNA from 1 species
GUGGGGAAUCUUCCGCAAUGGACGAAAGUCUGACGGAGCAACGCCGCGUGAGUGAUGAAGGUCUUCGGAUUGUAAAGCUCUGUUAAUCGGGACGAAAGAGCCUAGUGUGAAUAAUGCUAGGAAGUGACGGUACCGGAAUAGAAAGCCACGGCUAACUACGUGCCAGCAGCCGCGGUAAUACGUAGGUGUCAAGCGUUGUCCGGAAUUAUUGGGCGUAAAGCGCGCGCAGGCGGAUCUGCCAGACUGUCUUAAAAGUUCGGGGCUUAACCCAGUGAUGGGAUGGAAACUACAGAUCUAGAGUAUCGGAGAGGAAAGUGGAAUUCCUAGUGUAGCGGUGAAAUGCGUAGAUAUUAGGAAGAACACCAGUGGCGAAGGCGACUUUCUGGACGAAAGCUGACGCUGAGGCGCGAAAGCCAGGGGAGCGAACGGGAUUAGAAACCCCGGUAGUCC